GACAGGAGCUUGCUCCUGAAUUCAGCGGCGGACGGGUGAGUAAUGCCUAGGAAUCUGCCUGGUAGUGGGGGACAACGUUUCGAAAGGAACGCUAAUACCGCAUACGUCCUACGGGAGAAAGCAGGGGACCUUCGGGCCUUGCGCUAUCAGAUGAGCCUAGGUCGGAUUAGCUAGUUGGUGAGGUAAUGGCUCACCAAGGCGACGUCCGUAACUGGUCUGAGAGGAUGAUCAGUCACACUGGAACUGAGACACGGUCCAGACUCCUACGGGAGGCAGCAGUGGGGAAUAUUGGACAAUGGGCGAAAGCCUGAUCCAGCCAUGCCGCGUGUGUGAAGAAGGUCUUCGGAUUGUAAAGCACUUUAAGUUGGGAGGAAGGGCAUUAACCUAAUACGUUAGUGUUUUGACGUUACCGACAGAAUAAGCACCGGCUAACUCUGUGCCAGCAGCCGCGGUAAUACAGAGGGUGCAAGCGUUAAUCGGAAUUACUGGGCGUAAAGCGCGCGUAGGUGGUUUGUUAAGUUGGAUGUGAAAG
rnacentral:rRNA from 2 species